AGAGUACAUAGAUUAGAUCCAUUCAUUGAUGGUUCAUUAAUAGAUUCUUAUGACUGCAUUGGUGUCCAAUCACCAGAUAGCCCCAGACCACUAGGAUAGAAUAUGCCACAAGCAUUUCAUGUCAAAGGAUGGUCAUUGUAAAAAUUUGUGUAUUGCAGCAAUUUGCAACCCAAAAUGUCUUUAUGGAGGCAGAUGCAUAUUUCCCAAUGUGUGUUCCUGCCGCACUGAAUACUCUGGAGUCAAAUGUGAGAAGAAAAUACAGAUAAGACGCCAUUGAGUAGCAUCAAGUAUAUGAAUUACAAGCCUGUAUCUUAAGAAUGGAAAUAUUUUGUUCAGAAAAAGUUGGAGAUAACUUGGAGUUUAUUUGAACAUCAUUCAAAAAAUAUCUUAAAGACUGAAGAAACUAAUAAAAUACAUAAUGAUCUCUGUUGUAAUCAUAGAGAAAAGCAAAGAAGAAAUCCAGGUAAUCUAAAUUUGAUGUUGAGAUGGGAUAGGAUAUUUACAUAUUGAGAUGAUGUAUCUGAUAUUCCACCCAUUCACAAUAUUUAAUAAACUGAAUAUUUUCUCAGCCCU
rnacentral:lncRNA from 1 species